AUAUAAUGGGGUUACCUAUUAGGUUGCUUUCUCAUCAUGUGAAGGAAGAGAAGUUGUACUACUCUAUAUUAAUUUCUCUCUUCUAAUAAAAAGAGAAAAAAGAAAUUAAAAGGAAAGGAAAGUAUGUUUUCUUCCAUCAACAACAACAGUCCUUUUCCACAGUACUAUUUCCCAUCAUCAUCAUCAUCAUCAUCAUCUUAUCCACCACCACCGUUUCCACCACCUCCUCUUCCUCUUCCAUUUCCUCCUCAACAACAAGAACCAAACUCAUCAUCAAGUACUGUUGAUACCAACAACAACAACAACAACAACCUUUUCUAUUCCCAAAACCACCAUUUUCAUGAUCAAAUCCCACUUUCAACUCAUCCUUUUUUCGUAUCCAACACCACCAUUAAUAAUAAUAAUAAUAAUAUUACUCCUCAAAUACUAAUCCCAGCUGAAACUUGUAUCAAUUUGGGAGUUUCCAACUCUCCACCCAAUGCUAUGGUCCCAGCCAGUAGUAACAAAGUUCACCAGGAGAAGUUGGGCAAGAAUGGUACAAAGAAAGAUCGGCACAGCAAGAUUUACACGGCGCAGGGACUCAGAGAUCGGAGGGUGAGACUUUCCAUCGAGAUCGCUAGAGAGUUCUUCGACCUCCAUGACAUGUUAGGGUUUGACAAAGCAAGCAAGACCCUUGAAUGGCUUCUCAUCAAAUCCAAGAAAGCCAUAAAAGAGGAAUCAUUAGCAAGGUCCACACCCAGUAGUUAUUGUAAUAAUAACAUAAGUUUGUCUUCAACAACUACUACUACUACUACUACUUCCGAGUGUGAAGAGGCUGAAGUCAACGAAGCUGUUGUUGACCCUUCAAGUCAUGACCCACAUGAAGAAAAUUUAUUGGUUUGUACUAAAAAUUUUGAUGUAGAGAAGCUGAUGUUGAGUAAUAGUAAGGAGUCAAGAGCAAUGGCCAGAGCUAGAGCAAGAGCAAGGACUAAAGAAAAAAGAUCCCCCAACUUAAUCUUGAAAAAGGGCCCUUCUCUUGGGGUUGAUGAUCAUCAUCAUCAGUCAUCAUCUGCUGUGAUCAAAUGGUCCAAGUUGAAGCUAUUUUCAGGUGGUAGUACUCUUCAUCAUCCAAUGGAUAAUAAUGAUAGUACCACUACUAGAACUAGUAGUACUACUUACGACCAUGAUCAUCAUCAACAACAACAACAACAACAACAUUCAUCAUCAUGUCGGACGAUGUCCUCAUUCAAAAAUCAAGAUCAUGAAACCAACUCAUCAAAUAAUAAUAAUGACAUUGUCUAUUCUCCUAUGAUCACCUUGUUACCUCAAAAUUGGGACAUUAAUGGCACGGCCACCACUACUAAUAAUGUGUCUGGACGCCCUGUUGGAUUUCGCUUACCCAUUACGUGAUAUGGAUUAUUAUUAUAGUUAAUGAAAAUUGGAAAGAUCAACUACUACUACUACUGCUGCUAUGAGCUGGUUAUAAGAUAUUGGGAUAUUGUUGUACGUGUCUACUAUAGCUAGCUACUUCCAUAUCUCUUCUUCCGGCCGCGAUAUUGGCGAUGAGGCAGCCAAGCAGCUAAGUACUUUUGAUGCAUGCUAACUACUGCAGCUUUCCUUUUUUUUUAACUUUUUUUUUGGUCAUUUUGUCUUUUUUUCUGCAAUUUGAACAAUUAAUGUACUCAAAAAAACUGGGAACUGUGUCAUUUCGUCAUGAUUAUUUAUCCACAUCGAUUGCUGGGAAUUGGGUUUCUAAUUUUUCUAUUAAUAGUUAAUACAUAUAUAUAUAAUAUGGUUUUUACAGCUUAAACCCUAGCUGGCUUAUUAGCUGAUCAUCAUGCUCCUCAUUUCAUA